rnacentral:rRNA from 1 species
UACGUAGGGUGCGAGCGUUGUCCGGAAUUAUUGGGCGUAAAGAGCUCGUAGGCGGUGUGUCGCGUCGGCCGUGAAAACCUGCAGCUUAACUGUGGGCUUGCGGUCGAUACGGGCAUCACUGGAGUUCGGCAGGGAGACUGGAAUUCCUGGUGUAGCGGUGAAAUGCGCAGAUAAUCAGGAGGAACACCGGUGGCGAAGGCGGGUCUCUGGGCAUUAACUGACGCUGAGGAGCGAAAGCAUGGGGAGCGAACAGGA